UUGGCUGUGGUCCCCAGGAGCUCGGGCCACACAGCAUCCCGGCUGCUCUGCAGGGCCAGGAGCAGCCAGCAUGGGCUGGGUGGCUGGCCUUCUGAGGUCCCUCCUCCUGCUCCUGGAUGUUGGAGGAGCUCAAGUGUUGGCAACGGGCAAGUCCACUGGGGCGGAAACUGACAUCAAAUACGCCCUCAUCGGGACGGCGCUGGGCGUGGCCAUCUCAGCGGGCUUCCUGGCCCUGAAGAUCUGCAUGAUCAGGAAGCACUUGUUCGAUUUUGAUUCCUCAGACCUGCGGAGCGCAAAUGUGGGAGUCAGCGGGAUCGAGGCCGCGGCCCGGGCAUGUGCCCUGACCGGAAUCGACCGGCAAACUUGGUGCAUGGGACACAGCCGAGCCACACCAGCCAGCGCAGUUUGUGACUUUUGAUGGCAGAAUGCAACAGCGAUUGACACCCUUUUGUCUCAAGACGGGGCCUGCAAAAGCCACCCCCCUGAACGGGAUACCAUCGCGCCAAAGAAGAGAGCUCCACGGUAAGGCUGCUGCUGGGGGACCAUGUCCCGCCUGCUUCGUCUGUUCUGCUCCCGGCCUGGCAGCCCCGCCCUUUUCUGAAACACUUCCCAUGGCCCCUCCUCCCACUCUGCUCCUCUGGCUGUGGGCAGGUGUCAUGAGAGGGUGUAGCAGCCAAGUGGGCUUGGGCUUGCCCUGGGCACUGGGCACGUGCUGCAGACCAUGUGGCCACUCCGGGCCUGUGUCCGGGCGAUGGAGUGAAGGCUCAGACGGAGCCUCAGCAGAGUGGCUGGGCCAUGCUCCCUGGCCAGCCGGACGCCCACACGCCGAGAGGGACUCUCUGAGUUCAGGAAACUUAGUUUUGGAAACUCCAGGGCCCCUGGAAGUCUCCAGAGCUGGUCGCAGGCUCUGCUUCAGGGACUUCUUAGAACUGGAAUUCACAAGAAUGUCAGGUUUCACCACGCCCACUGCUUACCCUGGCCGUGUGUCUGCCUAUGGGCCACUAGCAGGGUGGGGCGGCAGCGGCUGUGAUGAUGUGGGACGAAUGACUGACACACGCUUGAGUUUGGGAAGAUCUGCUGUGGACAGUGCAACCCAAGCAGGUAGCCCCUGGUUUCCUGUUGCUGUGUGUGACCGGGUCAGAGGGAACCCUCCAUCUUGCGUGUGUGUGAGUUCUGGAUCAUUCUGACACGCCAGAGCCGGAGGGAGCGACUUCCACACUGCAGGCCAGGUGGCUGAUGGUCACCCAGCAACAAGCCCUGUGCCUGCGGUUCAGGGAGAGGGGCUGCAGGCAGCAGGAGGAAGGGUGGUGGAGGAAGGAAGGAAGCAGCGAAGGAGGAGAGGUGGGUGGCUGGGCCUCGCUGGCCGCCCAGCUUCCCCCGGGACGUGCCCUCCCCUUGUGCGGGAGCUGCUCCUGGCCUGGGGCCUAUGGGAGCUCCCCACCAGCACAGGGAUUCUCGAAGCAAAGGGAGGCACAACUCAGAUUUCUGAAACUGACACUAGAUGGAGUCAGGCUGAGUCAGGAGAAGUUAGACCGAAGGACAAGCAAGUCAGUCUCUUACAGCAAAGCUGCAUGUGCUUUCUGUCACCCAGGAACGAUUUAAUAAAUCACUUACCAUAACUUAUCACAAAUAGGAGUGAUGCC